GCAGUCGAACGGUAGAGGGGCAACCCUUGAGAGUGGCGAACGGGUGAGUAAUGCAUCGGAACGUGCCCAGUAGUGGGGGAUAGCCCGGCGAAAGCCGGAUUAAUACCGCAUGAGACCUGAGGGUGAAAGCGGGGGACUCGCAAGAGCCUCGCGCUACUGGAGCGGCCGAUGUCAGAUUAGCUAGUUGGUGGGGUAAAGGCCUACCAAGGCGACGAUCUGUAGCUGGUCUGAGAGGACGACCAGCCACACUGGGACUGAGACACGGCCCAGACUCCUACGGGAGGCAGCAGUGGGGAAUUUUGGACAAUGGGCGCAAGCCUGAUCCAGCCAUGCCGCGUGCGGGAAGAAGGCCUUCGGGUUGUAAACCGCUUUUGUCAGGGAAGAAAUCUUCUGGGCUAAUACCCUGGGAGGAUGACGGUACCUGAAGAAUAAGCACCGGCUAACUACGUGCCAGCGGCCGCGGUAAUACGUAGGGUGCAAGCGUUAAUCGGAAUUACUGGGCGUAAAGCGUGCGCAGGCGGUUAUAUAAGACAGAUGUGAAAUCCCCGGGCUCAACCUGGGAACUGCAUUUGUGACUGUAUAGCUAGAGUACGGUAGAGGGGGAUGGAAUUCCGCGUGUAGCAGUGAAAUGCGUAGAUAUGCGGAGGAACACCGAUGGCGAAGGCAGUCCCCUGGACCUGUACUGACGCUCAUGCACGAAAGCGU
rnacentral:rRNA from 1 species